rnacentral:lncRNA from 1 species
AUUUAAGGGGUGAGGUUGAGUUUAUAAAAUAAAUUACAUGAUUAUUAAAUAUUUAUAAAUGAUUUAAGAGGGUUAGUUUAAUAUUUUCAUCACAAACAUAAAGUAUUUAGGAAAAUGAUUAUCCUGAAAAAAGUACAUUUAAAAAGUAGUAGUAUCAGAUUUAUGGUAAAAUUUGGAUUUCUCACAUUUCACAAUAGCUAAUGCGUUUUAAGUAUGUUGAGGGAAAUUGUUUUGAUAUGUUUUGUUUAUCUUAAAUUAGUUUUGUUUUUACUUUAAAAUUAUAUUAAAUAUAUACUCUUUUUAUAUCAUUAUCUUUAGAGUACGCAAAUAAAAAGUUACUAACUACUAAUUAUAUUUCUCUUGUGUUAAAAUGAUAUAGAUGAUUCAAAAAUAUAAAUGUUCAAAAGAUGUAAAAUAUUUGAAUGAAUUUUUAAACAAAAGCGGAUGU